rnacentral:rRNA from 1 species
CCUACGGGCGGCACCAGUGAGGAAUAUUGCGCAAUGGAGGAAACUCUGACGCAGCAACGCCGCGUGGGAGAUGAAGUUCUAUGGAGCGUAAACCCCUGUAAGCAGGGACGAACGGCAGGUAUUCGAACAGGAUACCUGUAUGACGGUACCUGCAGAGUAAGCUCCGGCUAACUCCGUGCCAGCAGCCGCGGUAAUACGGGGGGAGCAAGCGUUGUCCGGAACUACUGGGCGUAAAGGGCGUGUAGGCGGUUUAAUAAGUCAGAUGUAAAAGCCCCCGGCUCAACCGGGGAUGGUCAUUUGGAACUGUUAGGCUUGAGUGCGAGAGAGGGUAGUGGAAUUCCCAGUGUAGCGGUGAAAUGCGUAGAUAUUGGGAAGAACACCAGUAGCGAAGGCGGCUACCUGGCUCGCAACUGACGCUAAGGCGCGAAAGCGUGGGGAGCAAACAGGAUUAGAUACCCCUGUAGUC